GAACGCCCAUCACGAGGUAGCAAUAUUUCGCGGUGGGAGUGGCGCAAGGGUGCGUAACACGUGGGUAAUCUGCCGCGAAGUCCGGGAUAACUUGCUGAAAGGCGAGCUAAUACCAGAUGUGACUGUCGGGAGGCAUCUCCUGGCAUUCAAAGUUGGGGACCGUAAGGCCUGACACUUCACGAUGAGCCCGCGGCCUAUCAGCUAGUUGGUGAGGUAACGGCCCACCAAGGCUAAGACGGGUAGCUGGUCUGAGAGGACGACCAGCCACACUGGAACUGAGACACGGUCCAGACACCUACGGGUGGCAGCAGUCGAGAAUUUUUCUCAAUGGGCGAAAGCCUGAAGGAGCGACGCCGCGUGGGGGAUGAAGGGCUUCGGCCUGUAAACCCCUGUCAUUUGCGAUCAAGGCGACCGACCUAAUACGUCGGGCGUUGAUAGUAGCGAAAGAGGAAGGGACGGCUAACUCUGUGCCAGCAGCCGCGGUAAUACAGAGGUCCCAAGCGUUGUUCGGAUUUACUGGGCGUAAAGGGUGCGUAGGUGGCAAGGUAAGUUCGGUGUGAAAUCUCCAGGCUUAACCUGGAAACUGCACUGGAUACUAUCUAGCUCGAGGAUCGUAGGGGAGACUGGAAUUCUCGGUGUAGCAGUGAAAUGCGUAGAUAUCGAGAGGAACACCAGUGGCGAAAGCGAGUCUCUGGACGAUCCCUGACACUGAGGCACGAAAGCUAGGGGAGCAAACAGGAUUAGAUACCCUGGUAGUCCUAGCCCUAAACGGUGCAUGUUUGCUGUGGGAGGAAUCGACCCCUUCCGUGGCGAAGCUAACGCGUUAAACAUGCCGCCUGGGGAGUACGGCCGCAAGGUUAAAACUCAAAGAAAUUGACGGGGGCCUGCACAAGCGGUGGAGUAUGUGGCUUAAUUCGAUCCAACGCGAAGAACCUUACCUGGCCUUGACAUGUAGGUGGCAGAAGCCUGAAAGGGCAACGACCCCGCAAGGGGAGCUUACACAGGUGCUGCAUGGCUGUCGUCAGCUCGUGUCGUGAGAUGUUGGGUUAAGUCCCGCAACGAGCGCAACCCUCGUGUCCUGUUGCGACCCGGAUGAGAAUUCGGAGCACUCUGGACAGACUGCCACAUUUUCAUGUGGAGGAAGGUGGGGAUGACGUCAAGUCAGGAUGGCCCUUACGGCCAGGGCUGCACACGUACUACAAUGCCCGGUACAAAGAGAAGCAAGACCGCAAGGUGGAGCUAAUCUCGCAAAACCGGGCCCAGUUCAGAUUGUCGGCUGCAACUCGCCGACAUGAAGCUGGAAUCGCUAGUAAUGGCGCAUCAGCUACGGCGCCGUGAAUACGUUCCCAGGCCUUGUACACACCGCCCGUCACAUCAUGAAAGCCGGUUGUACCCGAAGUCAGCGCGUUAACCGCAAGGAGACAGCUGCCGAAGGUAUGGCUGGUGAUUGGGAUGAAGUCGGAACAAGGUA
rnacentral:rRNA from 1 species